rnacentral:sRNA from 1 species
UUUUAGCGAUAGGGAUAGCAGUGGCAUCCUUUUUAGUAGAGAUUAAAACUCUAAAAUCUCUACUAAAAAGAUAGAACGUAUAGCCCGCCCGAUC